UACAGAGGUGGCAAGCGUUGUUCGGAAUUACUGGGCGUAAAGGGCGCGUAGGCGGCUUUUUAAGUCAGACGUGAAAUCCCCCGGCUUAACCUGGGAACUGCGUCUGAUACUGGGAAGCUUGAGUUCGGGAGAGGGAUGUAGAAUUCCAGGUGUAGCGGUGAAAUGCGUAGAUAUCUGGAGGAAUACCGGUGGCGACGGCGGCAUCCCGGACCGAAACUGACGCUGAGGCGCGAAAGCUAGGGGAGCAAACGGG
rnacentral:rRNA from 1 species